UUUCCUCCCGAGUGCUUNGCACUCAAUUGGAAAGAGGAGUGGCGGACGGGUGAGUAACACGUGGGUAACCUACCCAUCAGAGGGGGAUAACACUUGGAAACAGGUGCUAAUACCGCNUAACAGUUUAUGCCGCAUGGCAUAAGAGUGAAAGGCGCUUUCGGGUGUCGCUGAUGGAUGGACCCGCGGUGCAUUAGCUAGUUGGUGAGGUAACGGCUCACCAAGGCCACGAUGCAUAGCCGACCUGAGAGGGUGAUCGGCCACACUGGGACUGAGACACGGCCCAGACUCCUACGGGAGGCAGCAGUAGGGAAUCUUCGGCAAUGGACGAAAGUCUGACCGAGCAACGCCGCGUGAGUGAAGAAGGUUUUCGGAUCGUAAAACUCUGUUGUUAGAGAAGAACAAGGACGUUAGUAACUGAACGUCCCCUGACGGUAUCUAACCAGAAAGCCACGGCUAACUACUUGCCAGCAGCCGCGGUAAUACGUAAGUGGCAAGCGUUGUCCGGAUUUAUUGGGCGUAAAGCGAGCGCAGGCGGUUUCUUAAGUCUGAUGUGAAAGCCCCCGGCUCAACCGGGGAGGGUCAUUGGAAACUGGGAGACUUGAGUGCAGAAGAGGAGAGUGGAAUUCCAUGUGUAGCGGUGAAAUGCGUAUAUAUAUGGAGGAACACCAGUGGGGAAGGCGGCUCUCUGGUCUGUAACUGACGCUCAGGCUCGAAAGCGUGCGGAGCAAACAGGAUUAGAUACCCUGGUCGUCCACGCCGUAGACGAUGAGUGCUAAGUGUUGGAGGGUUUCCGCCCUUCAGUGCUGCAUCACACGCAUU
rnacentral:rRNA from 1 species